GCAACGCCACCUGGAAACUUCCACACAGCUAAGGUCUUUGAGAGAGAGAAAACCCUUCUUCUGCCUUAGCAAUAUAGUUCUCUCUCCUUAGAAAGUGGCUGAGACUCCGUCACACUGCUUCUUGCCCAGGGCUCAGAAAGGGUGGCCAGCCACACUGUCAGGUGAGAAGGCACAGUUGACGUGAAGCGAGACGUGCGUGGCACCUGUCAAGGAUGUCAAUACUACAGUUUGAACUUCAGGAGUUUCUGGGGAACGGUUAAAGCACCAUCGUCCCUGCAUUCUCUUUUAUAAGAAACUGAAGAAGUGGAGAGAGUCUUUACAAGUCCCAUUUUCGGGGAGGCCCCGAGGCAGCCUGUGAUUCAACAUUUAAACAGAGGCAAACACACUUCCACGCUGACCUGCAUACGUUUCAGGAAAACUCUGGGAAAGAAGAGGAAAAGAGAAAUACGAGACCAAAUAUUUACAUCAGGAAGAAAAGUACAAAUCUCUACAUGAAACAAUACGGGACUGCCAAGGGUUGCACUUAAUCUGUCAUUAAAAAAUGACGCAUUAUCAAAUUCACAACCCAGAUUUUUUCAUUUUAGUAAAGAGCAGAACCUGGUUAGUCUUCCUUCAGACCUUCACAGUCCACAUUCUUUUUUUUUUUUUUUUUAAUGUUACAUAAGCUUCCAACAGUGAAUGUUCUUGAAUGUUCCCAUGUGUUCAGUGAUGUCUGAACAGUAUGAACAUGAAGGAAACCAUUUCUUAGUGUAGAUGUCCUAAUGAUUACCUGUCCCUUUUUAAGAAGGCCAAGAGAGGAAGGGGAGCCCCGGUGUGGUCUCAGCAGUCAUGAACUGUAUUCUAAAGACUGGGUUUUUUCCUUCUGUAAAGCCCUAUGUAUGGAUGGUCACAGAUGCCCAUGUGCUCAGUGAAUAACUGGACAGUGACAGAUGAAACUGGAAAGUGCAUAGUUUCUGUCUUAAAGGUUUCACAAGGCUGUGGGCCAGCGCUAGAGCACUUACUUGCCUAGCUCAUGUGAGGCCCUGGAUUGAAUUCCCAGAUGUCAUUAUUUUUGUUUUUAACAGAGCAGAGAGAGGUUUUUACAGCAGAACAAGGGCGAGUGGGGUGUCCCAGAAGGUAAAGGCACUGGCUGACAAGCCCGACAACCCAAGUUCAAAUCUCCAGGAUACACACAGUAGGAGAGAAGCAGCUCCCAAGAGUUAUGAGCUAUCCUCUGACACUUCACCACACCUAGGCCAUGGCGCAUGCUCUCUACUCCCCACCUAUAACGAAAUAGAUGUAACCAAAAACAAAAACAAAAUGAGAGAGAGAGAGAGAGAGAGAGAGAGAGAGAGAGAGAGAGAGAGAGAGAGAGAGAGAGCCAGCCGUUUCUUUACAGGUGCCACUCAGGACUUAACCAUGCAGGAGCAUUGUGGUUUGGAUCCUAAAUACCACAGAGGCUAAUGUGCGAACAACUCGGUUGCCGGCCUGUGGUAUUACUGGGAGGUAAUGGAACCUUUAAGAGGCAAGGCCCAGGGAGAAGUUAAGCUGUUGGAGGCAUGCCCAUGAAGGGCUCAGGACUCUAGCCCCUCCGUUCUCUCUCCUCCUUUUGCUUCCUGAUUGUGGGAACACUAGCAGAUGUCUUGUGUUAUGCACUCCCACCUGAUGCGUGGCUUUGCCACAGAUCCCAAGCAAUAGGGCUACACAACCAUGGGCCAAAACUCUGAACUCACGAUCCCAAAUAAACCAUCCCUAACUGGAAGCUGUUUAUCUAAGGUAUCUUGUCACAGCGACUUUUAUAAAGCCAACUAACACCCAGGGCUCUUCUCCCUGGAAGAUGAUGUGCAGGAGGCAAAAUAGAGCCAGAAAGGCCUCUGGUUCACUUGUAACUGAAAGCUCAACCUAUCUUUAAUUUUUGAAAAGAAUGGGAGAUAAUGACUCCAAUAUGGAAGACUAGUUUUAUAAAUAGCCAGUUGCCCAGAAUGAGUCACAAGCUUGGAGCCCUGAGUUGUAAACAGCAGGGAUCUCACUUGUUUUGCAAGCAGUAGCCCUGGUGAGCACAGGCAAGCUGGCAGAUUGUUUCAGUGGCUGCAAUGUUUUUGGUCCCUAUUUGCAAAGUUGGAGGGAAGUCCCGGCAGAAAGAAAACACGGAAAGACAUCUUGAUGCUUAUAAUGAGAUGGAUCUUGGUGGGGCAGGAACUUGGGGACCAGGUCUGGUACCAGUGGGUGGCAAAUGUCUGGCUCCAUUAACACAGAUAAACCAGUUGUGGGAAAGACUACCCUUAGCACAGGGUUUCAUCACCUCAAGACUCUUCCUCAGGUGAUAAUGAGUUAACAAACAGGGCUGCUAAGGAGCAUUACCAAGUGACAUGGAGGAUACUCAGUUAAACUUGAACUUCAAAGCAAUUUACAUUCCACACUUACACACAUAGCAGGAAAUGAUUUGUUAUUCAUUUACCUGAGGUUCAAAUUCAACUAGGCACCGAUUUUUUUUCUGUUGUCAGUAUUUGUUUGUUUUCUGAACACACAACUUGAUUCCCAUGACAAGGUUGUGAGAAAGGAUGAAACACAAAAGCAGGAGGAGGGGAGAGCAGAGCAAAAUACACAGGCUCAGAAACAAUGGACUUUUGUCACCUCUAGUGGUUUGAACAAGGAUGGUCUCCAUAGGUUUAUAUUUCUGAAUAUUUGGUGCCCAGUUGGUGGAACUUUUUUGGAAGGAGUAGGAGGUGUGGCUUUGUUAGAGGAAGUACGUCACUGGGGGCGGGCUUUGGGGUUUCAAAACCCACACCAUUCCCAGUUAGCUCUCACUGCCUUGUGGUUGGGUCUCAAGAUGUGAGCUCUCAGCUACUGCUCCAGCACCAUGGCUUCUUGCCUGUUGCCAUGCUCCCUACCACGGUUGUCAUGGACUCAAACCCUCUGGAACCAUAAGCCUCAAAUAAACUCUUUCUUCGACAAGUUGCCUUGGUCAUGGCGUUUUAUCACAGCCAUCGAAAAGUAAUGAAGAUAUGAGCCAAUGCAAAGUUUUGACAUACGUCCCUGUAAAGAUGGUAGAACUGAGAAAAGAUUUCAGACUUGGAUGAGCAUCCAAGAGAGUCCCAAACUGAAGGGAGAAGAAACAAGGUGAGUGUGUGUCCACAGAGGCUCACCUGUCUGGUCAUGUCAGAAUUCCAGGUGCUUCCUACAAGGGAAGAGGGAAGUUUCAAUGGGAGCAGACAGAAAAGGCACACAUCCCAUGAAAGAGCUAUCUCCAUCCUCUCAGGCAGGUGGCCACAGGUCUGAGGGCUCCAUACAUGGGUUCCUCAGAUGCCCAGGAGACUGAGGCAAGAACAGGAGGGAUGAUGGACAGAUGGACACUUAAGACUGUCCCUUUUAGAAUGGGCCUGGGCAUGUGUAUGCCAUUGGC